rnacentral:lncRNA from 1 species
UUAUAAUGUAUUUUCUCUUUGAGCAUCAUUGACUGCUUGUAACCUUUAGGAUCUCAACAUCAUGAAGAACUCAAACACACAGUGCUUGCAACCUAAUCAAAGAUCUUACAGGACCUGGAGGCUUUCUGUGAACAAACACUAGGCAGGAUGGUACAAUCAAAACCAAGCUGUCCUGAUCUGAGUACCUGUGAGUCAGCAUAUGAGGGCUUGAUGCCGUGUGCCGGGCCGAGGACUGAGAGCAGGGCUGUGAUCCAGCUGCUUGAAGGAUUGGUGAUGAAUGACAGGCGGGAGGCGUCCCUCUCCUAA